AGUGGGAGCACAGGUUUACCUGUGUGACUGCGUACCUUUUGUAUAAUGGGUCAGCGACUUAUAUUCUGUAGCAAGGUUAACCGAAUAGGGGAGCCGGAGGGAAACCGAGUCUUAAUUGGGCGUUAAGUUGCAGGGUAUAGACCCGAAACCCGGUGAUCUAGCCAUGGGCAGGUUGAAGGUUGGGUAACACUAACUGGAGGACCGAACCGACUAAUGUUGAAAAAUUAGCGGAUGACCUGUGGCUGGGGGUGAAAGGCCAAUCAAACCGGGAGAUAGCUGGUUCUCCCCGAAAGCUAUUUAGGUAGCGCCUCGUGAAUUCAUCUCCGGGGGUAGAGCACUGUUUCGGCUAGGGGGCCAUCCCGGCUUACCAACCCGAUGCAAACUGCGAAUACCGGAGAAUGUUAUCACGGGAGACACACGGCGGGUGCUAACGUCCGUCGUGAAGAGGGAAACAACCCAGACCGCCAGCUAAGGUCCCAAAGUCAUGGUUAAGUGGGAAACGAUGUGGGAAGGCCCAGACAGCCAGGAUGUUGGCUUAGAAGCAGCCAUCAUUUAAAGAAAGCGUAAUAGCUCACUGGUCGAGUCGGCCUGCGCGGAAGAUGUAACGGGGCUAAACCAU
rnacentral:rRNA from 1 species